rnacentral:rRNA from 1 species
GGGUUGUGAGGUUAAGCGACUAAGCGUACACGGUGGAUGCCCUGGCAGUCAGAGGCGAUGAAGGACGUGCUAAUCUGCGAUAAGCGUCGGUAAGGUGAUAUGAACCGUUAUAACCGGCGAUUUCCGAAUGGGGAAACCCAGUGUGAUUCGUCACACUAUCAUUAACUGAAUCCAUAGGUUAAUGAGGCGAACCGGGGGAACUGAAACAUCUAAGUACCCCGAGGAAAAGAAAUCAACCGAGAUUCCCCCAGUAGCGGCGAGCGAACGGGGAGCAGCCCAGAGCCUGAAUCAGUGUGUGUGUUAGUGGAAGCGUCUGGAAAGGCGCGCGAUACAGGGUGACAGCCCCGUACACAAAAAUGCACAUACUGUGAGCUCGAUGAGUAGGGCGGGACACGUGGUAUCCUGUCUGAAUAUGGGGGGACCAUCCUCCAAGGCUAAAUACUCCUGACUGACCGAUAGUGAACCAGUACCGUGAGGGAAAGGCGAAAAGAACCCCGGCGAGGGGAGUGAAAAAGAACCUGAAACCGUGUACGUACAAGCAGUGGGAGCCUCUUAAUGGGGUGACUGCGUACCUUUUGUAUAAUGGGUCAGCGACUUAUAUUCUGUAGCAAGGUUAACCGAAUAGGGGAGCCGAAGGGAAACCGAGUCUUAACUGGGCGUUAAGUUGCAGGGUAUAGACCCGAAACCCGGUGAUCUAGCCAUGGGCAGGUUGAAGGUUGGGUAACACUAACUGGAGGACCGAACCGACUAAUGUUGAAAAAUUAGCGGAUGACUUGUGGCUGGGGGUGAAAGGCCAAUCAAACCGGGAGAUAGCUGGUUCUCCCCGAAAGCUAUUUAGGUAGCGCCUCGUGAAUUCAUCUCCGGGGGUAGAGCACUGUUUCGGCAAGGGGGUCAUCCCGACUUACCAACCCGAUGCAAACUGCGAAUACCGGAGAAUGUUAUCACGGGAGACACACGGCGGGUGCUAACGUCCGUCGUGAAGAGGGAAACAACCCAGACCGCCAGCUAAGGUCCCAAAGUCAUGGUUAAGUGGGAAACGAUGUGGGAAGGCCCAGACAGCCAGGAUGUUGGCUUAGAAGCAGCCAUCAUUUAAAGAAAGCGUAAUAGCUCACUGGUCGAGUCGGCCUGCGCGGAAGAUGUAACGGGGCUAAACCAUGCACCGAAGCUGCGGCAGCGACGCUUAUGCGUUGUUGGGUAGGGGAGCGUUCUGUAAGCCUGUGAAGGUGUACUGUGAGGUAUGCUGGAGGUAUCAGAAGUGCGAAUGCUGACAUAAGUAACGAUAAAGCGGGUGAAAAGCCCGCUCGCCGGAAGACCAAGGGUUCCUGUCCAACGUUAAUCGGGGCAGGGUGAGUCGACCCCUAAGGCGAGGCCGAAAGGCGUAGUCGAUGGGAAACAGGUUAAUAUUCCUGUACUUGGUGUUACUGCGAAGGGGGGACGGAGAAGGCUAUGUUGGCCGGGCGACGGUUGUCCCGGUUUAAGCGUGUAGGCUGGUUUUCCAGGCAAAUCCGGAAAAUCAAGGCUGAGGCGUGAUGACGAGGCACUACGGUGCUGAAGCAACAAAUGCCCUGCUUCCAGGAAAAGCCUCUAAGCAUCAGGUAACAUCAAAUCGUACCCCAAACCGACACAGGUGGUCAGGUAGAGAAUACCAAGGCGCUUGAGAGAACUCGGGUGAAGGAACUAGGCAAAAUGGUGCCGUAACUUCGGGAGAAGGCACGCUGAUAUGUAGGUGAAGCGACUUGCUCGUGGAGCUGAAAUCAGUCGAAGAUACCAGCUGGCUGCAACUGUUUAUUAAAAACACAGCACUGUGCAAACACGAAAGUGGACGUAUACGGUGUGACGCCUGCCCGGUGCCGGAAGGUUAAUUGAUGGGGUCAGCGCAAGCGAAGCUCUUGAUCGAAGCCCCGGUAAACGGCGGCCGUAACUAUAACGGUCCUAAGGUAGCGAAAUUCCUUGUCGGGUAAGUUCCGACCUGCACGAAUGGCGUAAUGAUGGCCAGGCUGUCUCCACCCGAGACUCAGUGAAAUUGAACUCGCUGUGAAGAUGCAGUGUACCCGCGGCAAGACGGAAAGACCCCGUGAACCUUUACUAUAGCUUGACACUGAACAUUGAGCCUUGAUGUGUAGGAUAGGUGGGAGGCUUUGAAGUGUGGACGCCAGUCUGCAUGGAGCCGGCCUUGAAAUACCACCCUUUAAUGUUUGAUGUUCUAACGUUGGCCCGUAAUCCGGGUUGCGGACAGUGUCUGGUGGGUAGUUUGACUGGGGCGGUCUCCUCCUAAAGAGUAACGGAGGAGCACGAAGGUUGGCUAAUCCUGGUCGGACAUCAGGAGGUUAGUGCAAUGGCAUAAGCCAGCUUGACUGCGAGCGUGACGGCGCGAGCAGGUGCGAAAGCAGGUCAUAGUGAUCCGGUGGUUCUGAAUGGAAGGGCCAUCGCUCAACGGAUAAAAGGUACUCCGGGGAUAACAGGCUGAUACCGCCCAAGAGUUCAUAUCGACGGCGGUGUUUGGCACCUCGAUGUCGGCUCAUCACAUCCUGGGGCUGAAGUAGGUCCCAAGGGUAUGGCUGUUCGCCAUUUAAAGUGGUACGCGAGCUGGGUUUAGAACGUCGUGAGACAGUUCGGUCCCUAUCUGCCGUGGGCGCUGGAGAACUGAGGGGGGCUGCUCCUAGUACGAGAGGACCGGAGUGGACGCAUCACUGGUGUUCGGGUUGUCAUGCCAAUGGCACUGCCCGGUAGCUAAAUGCGGAAGAGAUAAGUGCUGAAAGCAUCUAAGCACGAAACUUGCCCCGAGAUGAGUUCUCCCUGACUCCUUGAGAGUCCUGAAGGAACGUUGAAGACGACGACGUUGAUAGGCCGGGUGUGUAAGCGCAGCGAUGCGUUGAGCUAACCGGUACUAAUGAACCGUGAGGCUUAACCUUACAACGCCGAAG